rnacentral:sRNA from 1 species
UUUUAGCCCAGAUUGCAAUGGAAAGCAUUUUGAAUCAACAAGCACAUUUUUCUUUUUUAAAAAAGCGACCAACGGAAGCUCUUUUUAAAAAAAUUUGAAAAAUAGCUUUUUGGGAAAAAAUCUUGAAAUGGAAAGCUGGAAAUUGC